AAAAAUAAAAAAAAAUUGCUGAAAAAAUUUCCUUUGGUCGCAUUUGCAGCUGAACCCGUGUCCACGUCACCCUUUAAGUAUUUAGAGAUCAAGCUUCCACUCUCCCUCUCAUGUCCAAAGAACAGAACAAACAUCUCCCCCACUCAAAUAAUCCCAACUGAAUCCACAUGUUAAUUCCCCUGCUUUACAUCUCGUGCAUGCUCUCCCUUCCGCAUUUUUCUCAUCUUCCACUUCUUCCACGCGUCGGGCUCAUCACAUCCUCCCAACCGUGAUCUUCUCCCGUUCGGAUCAGCACCCCAUUUCUUCCGAACGCCCACGGAUAAGCCCAAGCUACCUAUCCCGUGUCCACAAAUCAAGCCUCCACAGCCUUAUCUCCCAGCGAAUCUAUCACUUCAUCCCAAUCCUCCUCUUCCGGCUUGAUUCCAAAGAUCCCCUUAUCCACGGAUUCAUCCCAACAUCUUCCGGAUUAGCAUCCUAGCUAUGAGCAUCGCCUGUUCUUCCUUCACGAAUCUGAACCAAAUGCACAGCAUCUACCGUAUCCAACUUCUUCCAGCAUCCUCUUCCUUCGGAACAGAGUAUCAGCCUAUCCACUUGAUCCUCUUCUUCCCAGAUUGCUUCCCAGCAUCCCACGGUCAGCCAUCGUCCGGAUUAAUCCCAGCAUAUCCAUGGAUAAACUCCGAACUGAUUUAUCUCCCAGAUUUUCUCUGCGGAAUCAUCCAAGCUCCCAUCCGCAAUCACCUCCCAGCUUCUUCCAAAUCCCCUGCAUCCUCCGCAUUCCCUCCGUGACGUGUUCCCAAACUUUCCCGAACUUAUCCUC